AAAAAAAAAUGAAGCUUGAAUGUGUCAGGUAGGCAGUGCAUCUCUAGCUGGCUGUUAAAAUUUCUUUUUAACAGUUGCUAGUUGCACUCCCCUCUGUUGCAUUCAUAAUCUUGCCUUCCAAAG
rnacentral:pre_miRNA from 8 species